UAAUACGAAGGGUGCAAGCGUUAAUCGGAAUUACUGGGCGUAAAGGGUGCGUAGGCGGUUGUUUAAGUCUGUCGUGAAAUCCCCGGGCUCAACCUGGGAAUGGCGAUGGAUACUGGACAGCUAGAGUGUGUCAGAGGAUGGUGGAAUUCCCGGUGUAGCGGUGAAAUGCGUAGAGAUCGGGAGGAACAUCAGUGGCGAAGGCGGCCAUCUGGGACAACACUGACGCUGAAGCACGAAAGCGUGGGGAGCAAACAGG
rnacentral:rRNA from 1 species